GAAGUAAUUAGCGAAUGCCAAGAAUUCUUAGUGAUUUCUCAAGGAGCCCUCCCUUGGCCUCUGUUUUGAUAUUAUCAUGUUGUUGCUGUGCUCCUAUAUUUUUAUCUCAGAGCAGGCAAAGUCUCUUAGGCAACGGUCCCUCUUGCGCCCGAUAUCCAUAUCGUUUCUCCAUCUGUGCCCCCGGGCGGCCGCCGCCUGGCUUAGGUUGCCCCCCCAGGGGGUCUUACCCGUCAUUGGCUAACCGGCCUUCUCACCUCCGGGUCACAGUUUGUUGGCAAGCUUUUUCCAGUGAUUAUUAACCCUUCCUAUGUCAGGGGCAGCUACAUUUCCCCGCCUUUUGUUUUUUAAAGCAAGGAAGGCAUCAUGUUGUGCUGAGGCCAGAAGGCCCAUCAUAACCAAUGCUUGCUCUUGUUGACUUUGUUUUUUCAGGGAGCACAGCAGAUGUAAAACAUAAACUAUUAACAUAGAUAAUAUCAAAAUCACACCAGCAUUAACAAAUAUGCGUAAAUUGAGGCCUGAGAACCAAUUGGAGGGCUCUAGCCAGUGUAACCCAUUUUCAAUGUCUUAAAGUAUUUUUUGAGAGAACACCUUAUGUACUUCUUGUAACUGCCUCUCUAACCGAGCUUGUAGCCCAGUGAUGUCAUUGGCCAGGGAGGUAUUAAAUGCCCCCUGUAAAUGUUUUUUUAUUUCUUGCCAAGAUGUCAGCGAGCUAUUAUACAGUAGGGGGGUAACGCAUUGCAUGGUAAAUUGCCAGUCACAUUUUAGUUUCAUAUGCAUAUAUAAUGCAUUUUGCUGCUCUCCCAGCCACUCUACUGCUGCCUCUAAUGCCUACAAUCCUGACAUUAGCCCUUUAUCAAUAUCCACCUGUGUCUGUAAUUCUUGAGUGAUAUUUACCAAGACGGACUCCACCUUAUGGGCUGUUUGAACACUGUUAACCAAGGCAGUAGUAGCUGUAGCAGCUGAUGCAAUGAUAAUCACCGCGGACACAAUGAACCCGAUUAGCGUAGCCAAAACUGCUUAGGGCAUAAUUUUC
rnacentral:lncRNA from 1 species